rnacentral:tRNA from 1 species
GCUCAAGUGGCGAAAUUGGUAGACGCGCUGGCUUCAGGUGCUAGUACCUUAACGGGUGUGAAGGUUCGAGUCCUUUCUUGAGCACCA